AUUGAACGCUGGCGGCAGGCCUAACACAUGCAAGUCGAGCGAGCGGCGGUCGGGUGAGUCAUGCCUGGGCAUUGUCCCGUCGCGGGGGAUAACAGUUGGCAACGACUGCUAAUACCUCAUACGACUGGCUUGCCCAGGUGGGAUUAGCUAGUUGGUGAGGUAAUGGCUCACCAAGGCGACGAUCCCUCGCUGGUCUGAGAGGAUGAUCAGCCACACUGGAAAUGAGACACGGUCCAGACGCCUACGGGAGGCAGCAGUGGGGAAUAGUGCACAAGGGGGGAAACCCUGAUGCAGCAAUGCCGCGUGAGUGAAGAAGGCCUUCGGGUUGUAAAGCACUUUCAGCGGGGAGGCGUUACUCGAAGAAGAAGCAACGGCUAACUCCGUGCCAGCAGCCGCGGUAAUAC
rnacentral:rRNA from 1 species